CCUACGGGUGGCAGCAGUGAGGAAUAUUGGGCAAUGGAGGCAACUCUGACCCAGCAACGCCGCGUGAAGGAUGAAGGUGCUCGGAUUGGAAGAUUCUGUGAUGGGGGAUGAACACAAUGACGGUACCCCGAUAGCAAGCAACGGCGAACUACGUGCCAGCAGCAGCGAUAAGACGUAGGUGGCAAGCGUUAUCCGGACUGACGGGGCGGAAAGGGUGUUUGGGUGGUUUCGUAAGUUGGGGGGGUAUUUACGGGGCGCAACCCCGGCCGUGCCGACAAACCUAUUAGACUAGAGUGCAGGGGGGGCAAGCGGAAUGCCUAGUGUAGCGGUGGAAUGCGUAGAUAUUAGGAGGAACAUCAGGGGCGAAGGCGACUUGCUGGACUGUAACUGACACUGAGGCACGAAAGCGCGGGGAGCGAACAGGAUUAGAUACCCGUGUAGUC
rnacentral:rRNA from 1 species